CCAUUACUGCAGGGACUCGAGUCACACGGCUUGGGUAUCACUAGAACAAUUGGAAACCUGGCUUGAAUUAUACGAACACUUAAUAUUGGUUUAGCAAAGAACAAAACAACAUACCCGUGUCACAGUGUCUUCCCGUAUAUCCAGGAGAGCAGGUACACGUGUAGUUUUUGCCGUCUUGUGUGUUGUUACAAACACUGCCAUUACUGCAGGGACUCGAGACACACGGCUUCAAGGGUAUCACUAGAACAAUUGGAAACCUGGCUUGAAUUAUACGAACACUUAAUAUAGAUUUGGCAAAGAACAAAAUAACA